GAUGAACGCUGGCGGCGUGCCUAAUACAUGCAAGUCGAGCGAAAAGACGAGGAGCUUGCUCCUCUGACGUUAGCGGCGGACGGGAGAGUAACACGUGGAUAACCUACCUAUAAGACUGGGAUAACUUCGGGAAACCGGAGCUAAUACCGGAUAAUAUAUUGAACCGCAUGGUUCAAUAGUGAAAGACGGUUUUGCUGUCCCUUAUAGAUGGAUCCGCGCCGCAUUAGCUAGUUGGUAAGGUAACGGCUUACCAAGGCAGCGAUGCGUAGCCGACCGGAGAGGGUGAUCGGCCACACUGGAACUGAGACACGGUCCAGACUCCUACGGGCGGCAGCAGUAGGGACUCUUCCGCAAUGGGCGAAAGCCUGCCGGAGCAACGCCGCGUGAGUGAUGAAGGUCUUCGGAUCGUAAAACUCUGUUAUUAGGGAAGAACAAAUGUGUAAGUAACUAUGCACGUCUUGACGGUACCUAAUCAGAAAGCCACGGCUAACUACGUG
rnacentral:rRNA from 1 species